rnacentral:rRNA from 1 species
AACGCGAAGAACCUUACCAAGGCUUGACAUACAGGGAAAUCCGGCAGAGAUGUCGGGUCCGCAAGGGUCCUGUACAGGUGGUGCAUGGUUGUCGUCAGCUCGUGUCGUGAGAUGUUGGGUUAAGUCCCGCAACGAGCGCAACCCUCGUUCUAUGUUGCCAGCGCGUAAUGGCGGGGACUCAUAGGAGACUGCCGGGGUCAACUCGGAGGAAGGUGGGGAUGACGUCAAAUCAUCAUGCCCCUUAUGUCUUGGGCUGCACACAUGCUACAAUGGCCGGUACAAAGGGCUGCGAUACCGCAAGGUGGAGCGAAUCCCAAAAAGCCGGUCUCAGUUCGGAUUGGGGUCUGCAACUCGACCCCAUGAAGUCGGAGUCGCUAGUAAUCGCAGAUCAGCAACGCUGCGGUGAAUACGUUCCCGGGCCUUGUACACACCGCUCGUC